rnacentral:lncRNA from 1 species
UUUUUUUUUUUUGAGAGUUGCAACGUUUAUUUCAGGUUCUCUCUUGUGUUUUUUCGUAUUUUUUUUUUUUUUUCUGCCAUACAGGCAGUAUGUGGGAAUUCCUGGGCCAGGGAUUGAACCUACGCCGCACAGCAGCUACCAGAGCCACAGCGGUGAGAAUGCAGGAGCCUCAACCCGCUAGGCCAUCAGAGAACUUCCUGCAUGGCUUUCUUAAAUUAGAGGAUGGUGCUGCUUAUAUGAAUAGUUUCCUGUCCAGUUUAUCUUAUUUUAGGAAUUUAAACUUUAGAAUGUUAUUCUCUGUCUUCUUUUUGGCCCUCCUCCUACCUUUUUAAUAAACCGAAUCUACUAUCAAAUUCCUCUUUGGGUUAUUCACUGAUUCAUUGUGUCCUACCCACCCCAUGCCAGAUUUUACUGAAGUUAAAGUAAUUGAUGACAUGUACACAAUGAUGAAGUGCAGGGGUGGGAGAAAAUGGGGAAUACUUAGCAAAGCAAUUCUGGGGUUGUUUUCUUUGGGUCCUCUUUCCAUGUUUGAAAGUAUACAGAGGACUCCAUGGAGAGGGACACUUCUUGAAUCAACAUGCUUUUCAUAUUACCAGUAUCCAACUGUCCUUAGGAACAGCUGUUAUUUACCGAACACCUACUAUGUUCGAAAUAUUAUUUCAUUUAUUUUGGGCAGCAGUCCCUUAAAAGAGUUAUUUCCCCCAUGGAUUAGGCUGAGAUUUAAGAGGCCAAAUAAUGUUCCCAUGGUUACUCAUUAAGAAACAGUGGAGUUGGGAUUUAAACUAAUAUUGGACUCUACUUUUUCCACAAUGGUUGGCUGUUGAUUCUUGGAUAUAAAUGAAGAGAAGGGUAAAGGAAAACCCAGUAAAACUUCUCUUUUUCCUUCCCUGCUUCUUCUUUCUGAAAGCAGGCAACUUAAUACAGGAUAGUUAAUUUAGGGCUCUGAACUGAUGAAUUCGCUGGUAGGAGAGAGGCCUAUACAGCUUUAAGUAGAUUGGCAUGGAGGCAAGUAGGGGUUACCAGUUGCCAUCAGCCUGAUAUCAGCAGUCCUUUCAAAGAAAAGAUAAAGCCUAUCAAAUUAAGCUAACAAUAAGUUAAUUUUUCAUUACUCUGAAUUAAAUUACUCAUUUGUUUGUAGGCUGUGUCUUAAGACUAUCAUUAGUGUAGAAGAAAGAGAAGAUUGCUUUAGUGGCUGGCAAGGGGACAGAUCUUUUCAGAAGCAUCAUUUGAGUCAAAGUGAUAAACUGUAUAGGACGACUAGUGCUAACUAACAAUGGCCCAAUGCGUACAGCAGAUAUUUGACCAACAGUUUUUAUCGUUGGUAUUGUGAUUGAGAUGCAUUUUUUUAUGUAAUCCAGACAACAAAGAGAUGUAUUUCUCAUGAUUGGUGAAGACAGCAGUUAUUUCCUCCUUGAUAAAAUACUAGACUUAUCAUAGCUUGAGACCCAUAUGUGGGACAGUUAAAUAGAAGCACAUGCAAAUUUUAAAAACAAAUGGCUUUCCAACUACCACAACCUAGAAGGGCGAGAAGAAAAGAGACCUGGCGGGGGUGGGGGGUGGGGUGGCAGUGGGCACACACACUGUUCUCAAUCAGAGAAAUAAGAGCCAAACUGGGAUCAAGUAACCCCACUUAACCUAGGGAACCUUCUUAACUAAAUGUAGUAUUAUUCUUCCAGGGAGUACCUCCCCCUCCUAAGGAUAGCUGUCAUCUGUGUCUAUUAGAUGAAAAAGGAAAAGACAGAGAAGCAUCUUAUAGAAUUCACUUUGAUGCCCUAAAUACAUUUUUUUGGGGGGGGGGCAUGGAACUAUAUUAACCCCAGAAGAAAAAAACAAAGUACAAAGCAGAAUAUGUAAGGCUUUUUAAAGAUAGGUAAAUCAUUUUCUUUUUAAAUGAAAUUCAGUUUGACUGCAUGAAAUAUGAACAGUAAUUAAAUGCACAGUCUGUGGGCCUUCCAUACUUUAAAGCUCUUUCUUUAAAAAAAAAAGAGUACUCACCUCAGACAGGCCAAUUACCCAAGAAUGAUGAAGUCAAGAGGAAAGUCGCUAAAUUUCUUUACUUGAGUGAUCACAACCCAAGUCCGUGAUUAGUCCCCACGGCACCAGCGGGGAUGUGGCAGGGACACUCACAUUGGAAGACUUCAAAUAGUCAUUUCCUUGGUUAAAAUAAAAUCUGACUGCACUAAAUAGACAGUUUUUAAUCUCAAUUGGACAUCUGAAGAUUUCUCAAGCUGUUGUUGGCUGCAGCAGAAACAAAUUUUUCUUCUUUGUUGAUUAAACCACUGGUCUCCACCAUUGCUUAUCGGCCUGCAACGAGCUGUUCUUUUUAAUUAAAAGUGAGCCACCACGAGAGAGCAAUUAACAGCUAGUAAUUACUGUGCUCUUCAGAACGGCAACAUUUUGCCUUUCAUUCCAAUUAUAUAAUGGACAAGUGGCUUUUUGAUCUUCAAAUUAGUGAGCUCUUGUCCUCCUUGUUUGGAGGCAGAAUUGGCAGGUUAAUGAUGGCCUGUGGGGGCACUCUUUCCUCUGACUGAUGGGAGGCGAGAAACACCAGGAAAGGAGGCAGUGAGAGGCUUUCAGAACCCAUAGUUCCACCUUCAUGAUAAAGAUGGAGAAAGAGCCUUUACUUUCAGGUUUUGAUGAAGAGGAAAAUAGGCUUACAUGGAGCCUCCAAAGAACAUUGUGGGCUUCCUUUCCUCUUCUCCUCCAGCAAAAGGUGACCAUGUUUUAAAACAUGGACAAGUGGAAUUAGACUGGGAUGCUUUGGCCUGCCUUUGAUAAGGACAUGAAAUACUCAUGUUGGCAAAAAAUAGUUACUCUAGGAUCAGGGAACAAUUUUGAAUUUAUUUCAAUUUGUUUUAACUUUGAGAAUCCCAGGGGUGUCUUAUCCUUGGAUACAAUGGAAUCUUAUCUUACUUGAUAAUUUAUUACCAGAUCUAGUAUAAACACUGAGGUUAUAAAUAGAGGAAGUUGAAUGUUUUUGUUUUCCUGUGUCUAAUCUCUGCUUUUUAUUUAACAGAAUGCAGAGAGUUCUGCUAUAUCACAGAACACUCAUGUUCCCCACAUCUCUACCUUCUGAGCAUACCCUCUCUUUUGGAUCAGUUAUCAGUUGUAGAUGCAAAAAUCCCAGUGCAAUAGGCCAGCUCUUCUUCCACAUCUUACUUAUAUGCUCUUGUUGAGAAUGUGAUACUUAUGGAUGGCAGUUUUGUGGCCUCAGAUCCCUAUAUGGGGGUAUUCUUUUAGACAAUAUAAAUAUUAAUAGCAUGAAACCCCUGAUUUCUGGAUACACAAAGUCACAUCCGAGUCUUAAGAGGCAGAAUGGGCAAACUUCUGCCUCAUCAUUCACUUUGUAUUGCCAUCCUUGAUAGGACCCUGCAAAUCUUAUCUAGGGAGCCAUGUUGAUUGGUGAUGGGGAUUAUUUUGUUGGGUAUGGACGGAAAACAGAUGAAAUAUGAAAGAAAUUUGAGUUUGUGAGCAUGGAAUCUGACUUAUAAGCUCUUUUCAAUGAUGUUACAUUAAAAUAGCAUGCACUAGAAUUAUAGUAUGUGGAAGUUCUCUUGUGGCUCUGUGGGUUAAGGAUCUGGCAUUGUAACUACAGUGGCUCAG